AUUGAACGCUGGCGGCAUGCUUUACACAUGCAAGUCGAACGGCAGCACGGACUUCGGUCUGGUGGCGAGUGGCGAACGGGUGAGUAAUACAUCGGAACGUACCCAGUAAUGGGGGAUAACUAUCCGAAAGGAUAGCUAAUACCGCAUACGCCCUACGGGGGAAAGAGGGGGAUCGCAAGACCUCUUGUUAUUGGAGCGGCCGAUGGCUGAUUAGCUAGUUGGUAGGGUAAAGGCCUACCAAGGCAACGAUCAGUAGCGGGUCUUAGAGGACGAUCCGCCACACUGGAACUGAGACACGGUCCAGACUCCUACGGGAGGCAGCAGUGGGGAAUCUUGGACAAUGGGCGCAAGCCAGAUCCAGCAAUGCCGCGUGCGUGAAGAAGGCCUUCGGGUUGUAAAGCGCUUUUGUCAGGGAGCAAAUCCUUGUGGCUAAUACCCACCGGGGAUGAGAGUACCUGAAGAAUAAGGACCGGCUAACUACGUGCCAGCCGCCGCAGUAAAAC
rnacentral:rRNA from 1 species